CUUCUCUUUUAUUAUUUUCCCUUUUCACUCUUUCUCUAAAACAUAACCCUCCAUAACCAAAAACCUUCUUCAAAUCCCUUCCAUCCUUUGCAAGAAUCAAGGAAUGUAUCUCUCUCUUCCUCUUUUCUUUUGAUUUAUUUUAAAGGUAGGAUUAUUUUCCAUGGCAAACCCACUUCCCCAAACCCCCAAUUAAUUUCGUUUGUCAUGAAAGUCUAGCAUGUAACAUGUGAAAGUUUGUGGAUUAUGAUGUGUAAUGGCCAAAAAUUAAGUGUGGGGUGGUGUUGAUAGGUGGUUUGGAUUGAAUUGUUGGAAAAAACCCUAGCUUUCUAAGUGAAUGAAUGAUAAAUAUUUUUAUGAAUGCUAGUUAUUUGUCAAAAUGCCACAAAGAAAAAAAAAAUUGGUGCUAAGGGAAUGAAUGUUUUCUAUAUGCCCAGCGGUGAUUCUGUUGUGAGAAAUAACUGUUGGGUGUAGUCCUGUGCUGAUUUUUUUGUCAUAAACAGUGAUGGCCCCGAGUGCCAUUCGACUGCAACCCACACAUAUCGAAUAAAUGGGGUGGUCUGAAUCCUCUUUUCAAAACCCAAAAAAUUGUUGUCACCAUGAAUAUACCAAUGUCUUAAGUGUGGGGUGGUCCCUCUUGACUAGACAUUUGGCUAAAUAGUUUGUUUGAUUACAGGAAUAAUGUCUCAAAGGCCUAAACGAACAAAUACAGGGAAAGCUCCGGCUGCUUCAAGUAGCCGAGCUCGAAACAAGAGGCCUGCCCCAGUAGAGGAGGAUGACACGGUUAUUGCACCGCGAUUUGGGACAAUAGAACCACAUGGGCGCUACUGGUUCCAACAGUUUUGAGUCAGCCAUUGCUCCCACUCCAGAAGUAUCCAUUGAUGCGAAUAAGCUAUGAAUUAAAUUCCCGCAGAUCCAUACAAGUAUCUUUUCCGUGGGCUAUGCUCGUUUGGGUCAAAAAGUUGGCCCAACAAAUAUUGAUAUGGUUAAAGAGUUUUAUGCCUAUUAGGAGCCCGGUCUUUAUUAUGAAAAGGUGAUGGAGUAUGUCAUCCCAAUUUGGUGGAAACAAAUUCCGUUCUCAUACCACACCAUUAACCAAUGGAUGUGAUUCCUCGAGAAAAAUCAUACACCCUUUGAGAGGUUCUUGCGUAGGCGCCUAACUGUAGAGAGUUUCACAACACGUUGUGCGGGCGGGACUCUAAAGUUUUAUGGGAUAGAGAUAUAGAUGGGCGACAUAAGUCCUUGAAGAGGAACAACUUUGUGCUAGAGGCAAAAGUAAUGCUAAGGUUCGUCAGCUGUCGGAUCAUGCCAACGACAAAUGAUACUAAGGUGUCCAAAUUGAGGUGUUGUUUGGUCUAUUUUCUCUUGAACAAUAUGGACCUAAACAUGGGCAAGGUUUUGUUGGUAGAGAUGGAAAAAAUAAGGAAUCAGGGAAAGGGGAGACUUCUCUACCCCAGCAUGGUGACCAGUAUCUUGUGUCGGAUGUUCGAUGUGUUGACCAAUACGGGAGUCGAUUUCGAGAUACCCCGAUCAGAUAAGUCGACAACUGCCUUGAGCAGUCAGUGAGGAUGUUGUUUGCUAACUUGAAGCUGAGAAUAAAGCGGGGGGAGGCAAGCAUGGAUGAGCUACAGCAGAUGGCUCCACUAGAAUCCACCACCACUACUAAAAAAAUAGGAUUUCCCGACCUCAAUUGAGGUCGGACAAAAACCGACCUCAUGAGGUCGGUAAAGACGUAAUAUUUAUUUAUCAAUUUUUUUUUAAAAUAAAUCGACCUCAUGAGGUAGGUAAUUUUGUAUCAAAAUUUGAAAAAAUAAUGUACCGACCUCAGUAGGUCGGUAAUUUAAUAAAAAAAUCUGAUCAAUUCAUUUAUUAAAUUUAUCGACCUCAUGAAGUCGGUAAAUUUAAUAAAAAUCUAAACCUUCCUUCUUCUUUUACCUCAUUUUUACUUUUGUCGUACUCUUAAAAAUCUAAACCCCCGUCUCUCUCUCUUUCCCUUUCUCCACCGCCCUACCCUCGCCCACAUCGCCGCUAGCCAGAUCUGUCACCACCCAGCCAGGUCCGGCAUCCAGUACGCCGUCGCCAACAUCUAUUCCAGGAAGGAUUCGCAUUCUCCCAUUGUACAACUUUCAAAGCUCCCUAUUACUUGAGAGUUCAUGUUCCUGCUGAUAGAAAGUGGAGAACUUUAAAGUUCCGAUUCUUUGUGACUAGAGACAUUUUGUUCAUCUUUCUCACAGUUCAACUUGUUAUAUCAUUACUGGGAUAUUUAGUUUAUUUGAUUGACACCCACCAUAAGUCUUGGUUGCGUUUGACUUGGGGGUUUGAUAGCAAACUAAGUUUCUACUACUUAUGCGGAUCCAUUAAAAGAAACUCCAGAUAAUGACAGCCAAUCACCGGAAGUAACCUCAAAAGCUGCAACUAUUGGGCAUGAAGCCAAGGAAAGUCCAAAGUAGUUGAUAGAGAAGCUAUCAGCUGCUCUAGUUAAUGUUAGUGCAAAAGAAGACUUAGUUAAGCAGCAUGCUAAAGUGGCAGAAGAAGCUGUUGCAGGUUGGGAAAAGUCAGAAAAUGAGGUUGCAGUUCUAAAGCAGGAACUUGAGGCAGCUGAGCAGCAGAACUUGACUUUGGAUGUUCGCGUCAACCAUCUUAAUGUUUGCGAGGGGUGAAGUAGUCUAAUGUUGUAGACUAACUUAAUGUAGACUAGUUUAAUGUUUUGUGAAUGUUUACAAAUGUUGAAGUAGUUUAAUGUUGUUUUGAUGUUUGCAAAGGUUGAAGUAGCUUAAGUCUCUUGUGAAUGUUUGAUUGAUGUUUUUAUUCAACUUUGAAGUAGUUUCAAAUUGAAUUUGAUGUAUUGGUGGUUGUAGUAUAUGUGUUGUAAUAGUAGUUUAAUGUUUUAUGUA